GGGCCUGUUUCGGAUUCGAUUGCAAGCGGAAUUCGUCGGACGCACGUCGGAGGCUCGGCUCCGUAAAAACGGACAAAUUUUAAAUGCUGAUAAAAAUAGCAGAAGAUCGACCGUUGCACGUCGGGCUACCCGCCGUGUAGCACUUGCGGCUUAACUUUUAAGCUCCGUUCUAUCCCGAUUCCUACGCUCGGGAAUAGGGCGUCAUUGAAGUAGGGAACGUUGCAGGCGAGCUGGUUUCCCCCCGCGUGCAAUGAAUUUCGGAAACGUGCCUAAAUAGCAGUUUGUCUGCGGACUGCUUUCAGGCGAGACUGACCACAGACUAAGCGUGUAGUGUCCUCGGAGGAACCUUGUAAGACCGCAGUUCAAUUCUGCGCAGGUCCACCA
rnacentral:tmRNA from 1 species